rnacentral:rRNA from 1 species
AACCUUUAUGAAAAAAACGAGUGAAUUGAAACAUCUUAUUAACUCGAAAAAAAAUCAACCGAGAGUCCGCUAGUAGCGGUGAGCGAUUGCGGAUAAGGCCUAUUCAUUGUUGGAAAAAUAUUUUUAGCCAAAAAAGUAAUGGAAAUUCUUGCCAUAGAAGGUAAAAGCCCUGUAUCUAUUGUUAAAAAUGUUAAAAUUUUAACAUGAAUCUGUGAGUUUUUCAAAACCGAAAUAAAAUGUAGUGCUUGCAUUCAUUUUUAAGGGGUACCACCCUCUAAGCCUUUAUCAUUUUUUUGACCGAUAGUGAACAAGUACUGUGAAGGAAAGGUAUGAAAAGAAAUCCAUAAUCCGGAUGUGAAAAAGAAUCGACAAAUCCGAUAUUAACAAUCAGUCGUUGAAAUGCGGCGCACCUUUUGCAUAAUGGGUCAGCGAGUAAGGAAAAAAAGCAAGCUUAAACUCAUAAGUGGAAGCCUAAUGAAAAUGAUAUUAGUUUUUUUUUCUUGACCCGAAACCGAGUGAUCUAGCUAUGAGCAAGUUGAAAAAAUGGUAACACAUUUUGGAGGACUGAACCUGUGUCUGUGGCAAAAGACUAGGAUGACUUGUUGCUAGGGGUGAAAAGCCAAUCGAACUCGGAGAUAGCUGGUUUUCUGCGAAAUUUAUUGAGGUAAAGCGUUUGUUUUUAUUACCCAUAAGCGGUAGAGCACUCGUUAAAAGCAACAAAGCUUUUUAAUGAAACUCCGAAUAUUUAUGGAGGUAUAAUGCAAGCAGGCAGACAUUGAAUGCUAAGGUCCAAUGUCGAAAGGGAAACAGCCCAGAUUAUAUGUUAAGGUCCCUAAGCUUUCGCUGUGUGGGAAAGGAAGUCUUUGAACAAUGACAACCAGCAGAUUGGCUUGGAAGCAGCCAUUCUUUGAAGAAAGCGUAAUAGCUCACUGGUCAAGUUCAAAAGUUGCACCAAAAAUGUACGGGGCUUAAGCGAAACACCGAAACAAUGAUUAUAUUUUAAAAAUAUAAGGUAGCAGAACGUUCUGUAAUUUAAUGAAGGAAAUCUGAAUAGAUAAAAUGUCUGGAAAUAUCAGAAGUGAGAAUGCUGACAUGAGUAACGAAAAAUCAUGUGAUAUUCAUGAUCGCCGAAAAUCCAAGGGUUUCUGCGCACUGUCAAUCAACGCAGAGUAAACCGGCCCCUAAAAUAUGAAAAGAAAUUUUUAAUUGAUGGGAAUAUGACAAUUAAAGUGAAUUAUAGAUUGACGAAUUUUUAUUGAUCAUUUUUUCAUUAUAGGAUCUGAAAGGUGUUUAAUAUAAUUCCGGGAAAUAACUAUAAUAAUCUACACCGUACCCUAAACCGACUCUGGUGGAUAGGUUGAAUAAACUAAGGCGUUGGGAGAACCAUGUUGAAGGAACUCGGCAAAAUACCUCUGUAACUUUGGGAGAAAGAGGACCAAAAAAUUGGUGACACAAAAAUGAGAGUGGCGACUGUUUAUUAAAAACACAGGGCUCUGCAAAAUGAAAACAUUAUGUAUAGGGCCUGACACCUGCCCGGUGCUGGAAAGAUAAAGGCGGAGAUUCAUUUAUGGAUAGCCACUUAAUAACCAGUAAACGGCGGCUGUAACUCUAACAGUCCUAAGGUAGCAAAAUUCCUCGGCACUUAAUUGGUGUCCUGCACGAAUGGUGUAACGAUCGCUCUACUGUCUCCAACAUGGACCCAGUGAAAUUGAAUUCUCCGUGCAGGUGCGGAGUACUAGCAGCUAGACGGUAAGACCCUGUGCACCUUUACUAUAACCUUGCAUUGGCAAACCUUAUAAAAUGUAUAGUUUAGGUGGGAGAUUUUUAAAUCAAAAGUGGAAUACCACCCUUCUCAUAAAGUUUUCCUUACUAAUAAUUCUUUAGAACAGUGUAUGGUGGGUAGUUUUUCUGGGGCGGAAGCCUGCUAAAAAGUAACGGAGGCGUGCAAAGGUAAGCUCAAAUUGGUUGGGAAUCAAUUGAAGAGCGCAAUGGUAAAAGCUUGCCUGACUGCAAGACUUACAAGUCAAGCAGGGACGAAAAGUCGGCCAUAGUGACCCGGGAGUUCUGUGUGGAAGGGCUCUCGCUUAACGGAUCAAAGGUACGCCAGGGAUAACAGACUAAUUACCCCCAAGAGUCCAUAUCGACGGGGUAGUUUGGCACCUCGAUGUCAGCUUGUCACAUCCUCGGGGUGAAGAAGCUCCGAAGGGUCGGGCUGUUCGCCCGUGAAAGUGGUACGUGAGCCGGGUUUAAUACGUUGUAAAACAGUAUGGUUCCUAUCUACUGCUAGUGUUUUGAAACUGAAGGAAGAAAGUCGUCGUACGAAAGGAACCGAACUUUGCAACCCCUGGUCGAUAAGUUGUUAUGCCAAUGGCAUUGCUUAGUAGCUACGUUGCUUAAUUUUAACUGCUGAAAGCAUCUAAGCAGGAAAUUUUCCCUAAAACAAGUUUCAAUUUUUUAACCGUGAAAGAAGAUCACGCGAUAGGCAUAAAGUGCAUUUGUAGUAAUAUAGAAAGCUUAUGUGUACUAAG